rnacentral:lncRNA from 1 species
AUGCCCAGCCGAAAAUCUGUAUUCAGAAGUACAAAAGAACUACUGUCUCACUGCCAUAGUCUGCAAAUCACUCGGCGUAUUCCUGCCAGAUGUGUGCGCGCCCGUGUGCACACCCACCCACACCCUAACAAGGCCGCACUCCUCCCUCACACCCUCUUCCAACCACUCCCGCAGCACAGGCCACGCCCACCCCACAGGUGCACCACAGCUGUGCAAUUCUCUCCUCCUGUACCUUCUCUCUCGCCCUCUUGUGUGCACAGGUGCCAACCGGGACAUACGCCAGGUGGGAAGCUGAAUGAAAUCGCCACGGGCCGGGCAGUAAAUGACUGGAGGACUAUCCGAGUACUCUUACCGGACGUCAAGUGCCAUCCUGGACUGCGAAAGAUGACAAAAGAGAGGGUGAAGCUUUUCACUUGCUAACAUCGCUAUGGUGACGCAGAAGUGCUGCCAGCCCCACGGAGGAGGUCGAGUUCUCACGGAGGAGAUCUGGGUUUGCUCUUAUCAGCCAUCGGAAGGCACCACCAACCCAAGACGACUUUGAGUUAAAUUCUCUGCUUGAGGGAUGCCCGGGUGGCUCAGUUCGUUAAGUGGCUGCCUUCGGCUCAGGUCAUGAUCCCAGCGUCCUGUGAUGGAGUCCCACAUCGGGCUCCUUGUUCCAUAGGGAGCCUGCUUCUCCCUCUGCCACUCUGUCUGCCUGUGUGCGCUCUCUCUCUCUCUCUCUCUCUCUCUGUCUCUCUCUGAGACAAAUAAAUAAAUAAAAUCUUUUUAAAAAAGUUCUCUGCUUGAGGUUCUUUGGACCACGCUGGUAGCAGGAAUUCAAAAUGCAAGCUAGCACAAACACUGGUGUGCAGUUCACAUUCUUGGGCGAG